GCCUGCUCGGUGAUGAUAUAAUUUAACAGCUGCGGUAUUAUAACUGUACUAAGGUAGCAUAAUAAUUUGCCUUAUAAAUUAGGGCUAGAAUGAAUGGUUUGACGAAAAUUAAACUGUCUCUGUUUUAUUUAUUAGAAAUUAAUUUUUAUAGUGAAAAAGCUUGAAUGAUUUAAAGGGACGAGAAGACCCUAUUGAGCUUAAUAUUAAUAUUUAAAUAUAAAAAUUUUUAGUUUUUAUUUUAUAUAAAUGUUUAUUGAAUGUAAUUUUGAUUGGGGUGAUCAAGGAAUAAAAGUAAAUAUUAACUUCCUUAAGUUGUUGAUUUUAUUGAGUAAUAAACCAAAUUUUUUGCUUAUAAGAUAAGUUACCAUAGGGGUAACAGCGUAAUUUUUUUUAAGAGUUCAUAUUGAAAAAAAAGAUUGCGACCUCGAUGUUGGAUUAAAAAUAACCUUAAGGUGUAGAGGCUUUAUUAGGUAAAUCUGUUCGAUUUUUAAAAUUUUACGUGAUCUG
rnacentral:rRNA from 1 species